rnacentral:rRNA from 1 species
CACGUAGUUAGCCGUGACUUUCUGGUUGAUUACCGUCAAAUAAAAGCCAGUUACUACCUCUAUCCUUCUUCACCAACAACAGAGCUUUACGAUCCGAAAACCUUCUUCACUCACGCGGCGUUGCUCCAUCAGACUUGCGUCCAUUGUGGAAGAUUCCCUACUGCUGCCUCCCGUAGGAGUUUGGGCCGUGUCUCAGUCCCAAUGUGGCCGAUCAGUCUCUCAACUCGGCUAUGCAUCAUCGCCUUGGUAAGCCUUUACCUUACCAACUAGCUAAUGCACCGCGGGGCCAUCCCAUAGCGACAGCUUACGCCGCCUUUUAAAAGCUGAUCAUGCGAUCUGCUUUCUUAUCCGGUAUUAGCACCUGUUUCCAAGUGGUAUCCCAGACUAUGGGGCAGGUUCCCCACGUGUUACUCACCCAUCCGCCGCUCGCUUUCCUAACGUCAUUACCGAAGUAAAUCUGUUAGUUCCGCUCGCUCGACUUGCAUGUAUUAGGCACGCCGCC